rnacentral:tRNA from 1 species
CGGGACGUGGCGCAGCUUGGUAGCGCGCAGCGUUCGGGACGCUGAGGUCGCCGGUUCGAAUCCGGCCGUCCCGA